rnacentral:rRNA from 1 species
AAUAUUGGACAAUGGGCGAAAGCCUGAUCCAGCCAUUCCGCGUGUGUGAAGAAGGUCUUCGGAUUGUAAAGCACUUUAAGUUGGGAGGAAGGGUUGUAGAUUAAUACUCUGCAAUUUUGACGUUACCAACAGACUAAGCACCGGCUAACUUCGUCCCAGCACCUUCGGUAAUACGAAGGGUGCAAGCGUUAAUCGGAAUUACUGGGCGUAAAGCGCGCGUAGGUGGUUCGUUAAGUUGGAAGUGAAAGCCCCGGGCUUAACCUGGGAAUUGCUUUCAAAACUGACGAGCUAGAGUACAGUAGAGGGUAGUGGAAUUUCCUGUGUAGCGGUGAAAUGCGUAGAUAUAGGAAGGAACAUCAGUGGCGAAGGCGACUACCUGGACUGAUACUGACACUGAGGUGCGAAAGCGUGGGGAGCAAACA